rnacentral:rRNA from 1 species
CCUACGGGCGACAGCAGUGAGGAAUAUUGGUCAAUGGGAGAGAUCCUGAAGCAGCCAAGCCGCGUGAGGGAAGACGGCUCUAUGGUUUGUAACCCCUUUUGUUCGAGGAAAUAAUCCCGGUAUCUAACGCGUACGCCCCGGCUCACUCCGUACCAGCAGCCGCGGUAAUGCGGAGGGUGCAGGCGUUACUCGGAGUAACUGGGUUUAAGGGGUGCGUAGGGGGUUUUAUAAGUCAGCGGUAAAAUGGCCGGGCUCAACCCGGACCGGCCGUUGAAACUGUGGACCUUGAGUGGGCGAGUGGUAGGCGGAAUGCGUGGUGUAGCGGUGAAAUGCAUAGAUAUCACGCAGAACUCCGAUCGCGAAGGCAGCAUACCGGCGCCCGACUGACGCUGAGGCACGAAAGCGUGGGUAUCGAACAGGAUUAGAUACCCUUGUAGUC